rnacentral:lncRNA from 1 species
UUUUUCUUCGUUGACGACGCCCCCCAGUGAACGCAGUGCAGCGGCGAGGUUGGAGAUGCGGAUGGCGAAAUCCUGGAUCUUCUCGCCGUCCGUGAACGCCACGGUCUCGAACUCAAUUCGGAGACGCCGCAGUCAUCCGUCGCGCACACGAUCAGGUCCCUGGUACUGGACCCGGAUCGCCUCCCACGCCGCUUUGGCCGAUCCCUUCCCGAUCAACAUGCAGUGCAUGUCGGCCGGCGUCGAUCGGAGCAGCGCCGCCAGGGUCUUCUUGUCGUCGACGCAAGGGACGGUAUCGUCCCCGAUCGCGUCCCACAGCGACGCGGCCUGGAGGUUUACCUCCAUGACCAUCGCCCAGUGCGUGUACCCGCCACGCGUCAGCAUCGGGAACUGCAGAUUUGCGCCGGAGCCACUGCUGGACUCGCGCAUGACCUGCUACACGACCACCUCGCCGCCACCACGUCGAACUCUACUCCUGCCGCGGCUGGGCGAGCGCCGUCGCUGCUUCGCGGGCGGAGGAGUUCGCGACUGGCGCGGCGUGCCGCUCUGCGACAUGGCCACAGGAUCUAACCGCUCUGAUGCCAAUUGUCUCCCCUAAACUCUAGCUCGAUGGUGAGAGAGAGAGAAUUCAGAGAGGAAGAACACACAGAGACACUGAAGUUUUUGUGCUGCGCUCAACACCUGCAGCUUUUCCGUUUUCCUCUUCUUAUUCAUCAAGAGUACACCAACGUGCCCGAGCAACGUGCUCCACUACUGACCACGUCCAUCCCCAUGAUCCGAGCUUCGUGCUGGGCCUACUAUGACUGAGCCAAGGCGCACAAAACGCAAUCAAUUGGCGCGAAAAAACGCUAACAGAAAAACAACUAGCUAUUGUCGAAACUGAAUGUGUCUAGCGACACUUAUCUGAAGAAAAAACCAACUAAAUUCAGAGAAAGCCGAGGGAGACAGGGUUUAAGCCAACAACAUUCACGGCCUAGUUGGCACGAUUAUUGGGCUUAUUUGUUUGCGCCUACCCACAUUAACAUGUAGAAGGACCGGGCAUCAGCCCUGCUCCUCCGCUCGGGCACAUCGACCGACGAGCGCCGCCGCUUCCGCCCCCUCGCCGGCGGAUGGACGCAACGAGGUCGUUAGACGGGGUGCGCGUCCAUGGCCAGAGGAAGCUGCCACCGCCGAAAUCGGGAGCGCCACAGCGGGCCGCUAAGCACUCCAUGCCGCCAUCCGCACUAGUGAAUCUUUGCGUCAGGUUCGGACGCUCACCCUAAUCUUGCGUGUCUCUUCCAUCUCUCAAUCCAAGCUAGUCAGUGGACCAGGCAGCAGCUACCCUGCGUCAAACUGAACUGUAUAGUAUGAGCAGUGUUAGUGCCAUCAUUGUUUGAUUGUUUGCUCAUUGGACUAGAGUGAGAUUGCGGCUGAUGAUCCGCACUUCAGUUUCUUCACAGCAGUUUUGAUACUAUCCGAUGGAUUUGCAGCUAACGAUUUGCUUGAGUUGCUUCGCUCUGCUGCAUAAUUAUAUUCAUCUAUAUCGUUUGCAGGUUGUAUUGCGACACGUGGCAAUAACUAUGGCUCAGUGAUUAAUCCGCUUGUGAUGUAGCAACUGGGUUGAGACUAAACAGGAAAGCACAUUUUUGGAUAUGCCAACAUGUGUUUCAAAUCCGGUAAUUGUUUAUAUUUUUCAUACAUGUUCUUGUUGUGUGUUCCUUCACCAGGUCUUUGUUCCUUGUGUCAUUUUUUCUCCUUUCAUGUUCUAAACUUCUUUUGAUUUGAUGGGCUCCAUACCAUCUAAGUGAUGGUUCAGUUUGGUAAGAUUCUUAUGAGGUUUAUCAUGUUUACUGAGCAAGAAUUCUGGUUAUGCCCACGGUGGUAUUAAAUCUGUUAACUUUUGUUUAUAUAAAGCUCAUUCAUAUGUGUAUUUUUCUCGUGUGUACCAACUUUGUUUUCAUGCUAUGAACUGCUGGUUUAAUGGGAGACAUACAGAAUACGGUGAUGGUUAAGUUCAACCAGAAGAUUCAAAAUUUUCAUCUAUCAUGGAAAUAUGUAGUUUUAUUCAGACAAAUGCUUUAUUCAGGAACAUUUAUUCAUCAUUUCCAUAUUGCAACUAGUACUUGCCACACAUGAUGAUGCAUGACAUUUUUAUUUUGCCACCGCUACAUAGAUCAUCUAGCACGCACCACCAGUGUAGGUAGCCACCAAUGGAAUGUUGUAGGUGGUGGGGGCGGGGCAUUGUACUGGGAUGUAGAUGCUACACAUCGACCGCAGGGCCUGAAGCGACAUCCUAAUGCUCUCAAGUUGUGCUGGCUGCUGGGGCUGGUACAUACCCUGCCAUUGUUGUUGGGGUUGUUGUUGCCUGAUAGCCUCCGCCACGUUGUGGAUGGCUUGGCAACGGAAUUGCUCUGGGAUCUGUGAUAGCUGUCGGCAACAUUGGUGCUGCACAUUUUGGCAGCUGGUAGGCUGAUCCACCGGUAUCUGGGGGAAUGGCACUGUCACUGGGCUACACUGCUGUUGCAGGAAUGUCGUGCACGGUGUCAACUGCUCCUGCAACUGUUGUUGUUGUUGUUGCCCCAGUUGUUGUUGCUGCUGGCAUUGUACCGGGACGUAGAUGUUGCACAUCAAUGAUAGGUUCUCAAGCAACAUCCUCAUGCUCUUAUGUUGUGCUUGCUGUUGGGGCUCCUGCCAUUGUUGUUGGGAUUGUUGUUGAAUGAUAGCCUCUACCACGAUGUGGAUGGCAUGGCACCGGGUUCGCUCUGGGAUCUGCGCCAACUGCUGGCAGCAUUGGUAUUGCACGAUCUGGCAGCUGCUAAGUUGCUCGACUUGUGUCUGGAGGAAUGGCAUUCUCAGUGGGCUACACUUUUGUUGCAGGAAUGCCACACACGGCUUCAUCUGCUCCAGCAACUGUCGUUGACCAGGUUGUUGUUGUUGUUGGGAUUGUCCAAAGCCCUGGCUACAUGUGGUUUCCAACUGGGCAAUGGCGGUGGUUGCUGCGAGGGCAAGGAGAGCCAGGAUGAAGACCUUCAUGGUGGCUAGCCUCAAGUUUGCUUUGUUGUUUGUGGUUGUCUGAAGGUUGAUGAAGGAGGAUCUUCAUGGUACAUGCCUAUUUAUAGCUGUCAUGGUCUGUUUGCUGCAUUCCAUUCCUAUAUUAUUUUACGAACGCAUUUGGAUGCUUUCCAAACUGAUCAUCUCGUUUUGUUGUGUUAGGUGGCGCUAAAGUCUAAUCUUCAAUGGCCAUCAAACAAACUUUUGGGCACAUAUCACCUGACUGUCAUGUGAGAUUGAUAAUGCAUAUGACUCAUCAAUCAUCACUUUACAUGUCAAAAGUUCGGGCGGCAUAUCUUUUUGUGAAACCAAUUUGUAAUCUUAUACAUGUGUUAGGUAUAAAUUAGCUUUUGCAUUCACAUGAUCCAUGGUUUUUUUGAGUUAAUGGUUUUUAAUCUUGCAUUAGCUGUUUAGGUUGAUCACAUCAGCAAACCAUUAGGUGUGAAGAGGUGUUCCACACUCGAUUAAUUGUUCCCUUGAACUGAUUUUGUAAUUUUAUUUGAGUUGGUAAGAUAAACAUCCAUUAGUAGUGCACGGCAUGACUCAUAGGAUGCCCUUUACAUGUCAAGAGAUUUCCAUGGAGCUACUCUGAUGUGGUGGAACUGAACUUUACUGAACUGAAUUUGUUCUUUCUUCUACAGGACAUAUGCAUGGGUAAUGUGCUAUGAGUCUGUAAUCUUCCAUGGUUGCUAUCUGCUGCCAGGCCCAUCCAUACCCAGGCCGCCAAGCCCGCCGCCCUUGUCCAAACCAUAUUUAGUGUUCAUUGGGCUGGCCGGGCCUAGCAUCAAGACCUGAAGGUAACAUCGAAAUGGUACAUAUUCAUUUAGGGGUACAAUAUAAGACCUCUUUUUUUUAUGUCACGUGUAAUCAAACCAUGCUUCUCAAGCAACUGUUGCUACAAAAACUUGAGUGAAAUAUGUAACGAAGUGUUGAAGCUAGCUUGAGUAAGCAUUACCGCUACUUUGUCGGUCGGUAAUAAAUCUGGACGGUAAAUUUGUGGCAACGCAGCUCGGAUACGAAGACCUGUGUGGGGUGCUUGGCAGCACAGGAAAUAUGAGCAAGUGAAAUGUUUCAAUGGCGAUCAACUAGAAGGGACAUAGUGUCAAGACGAACGGUGAUUACAUAUCCAUGCAACACUAGAUUUAAUUUAAACCACAGCAACUAAAAAUACAUCCCCGAAAAUAAGAAAGACUAGAACUAUCUCAGAGGCUUGAUUACUCCUAGCAAACUCUGAUCAGUAUUCACUCAUGCUAUAGCAUCAAGGUACUGCAGCAGAGUAUGUAACACUCCCUGGAUACAAAUGUUAAUUAAUGCUGGACAUAGCUUAAGCCGAGCUGCAUUUUUUUAACUGGACAUUUGCACACCAUUCUGGACUGGACCGUUGCAUGGUGACACGUUUGUUUCUCACAAACAUGCACCGGACUGUGUGCCUUCUGCUAUCAAAAAGAAGAGCCCCGAAUUGAUGUAAAGUUUACAAUCGGCGAUAAGCAACCAAGCAAAGAUAGAAGAACCGAGUUGCUAAAAAAGGAUAGAAGAAUCGAACAGAAAGCUAGGAGCAAAAACCGAAAGACGGGUAAAACUGGAAAAAUGAAAGGCAAGAGCAACUGCAUCUACUUCGCGAGGCCACUUGUAGGUUGUGUGGAAGCUUGGGCUGAGAUCAAGCUCGGUCAGACAUCGCCAGGCACACAGUUGACGACAUUUCAGGUAGGCCAGUGAGCAAUCAUCUGUUGCCUAAGUAGGCCAGUGCUACUUGCUUUCUAGAUCUACUAUGUUGAGGUUGCAUAGUUUUCUUUAAACACUUCUAUGAGAUUAUUAUUCUGGACAUGAAUUACUUCAAGAGGGGCCAUGACGAUCGUUAAGUUCCAAAACAAGCUGGGACAGAGAAAUAGUGGUGUUAAAUCAAGUACUCCCUCCGUCCUGAAUUACUUGUCACGGAAAUGGAUGUUUCUAGACGUAUUUUAGUUCUAGAUACAUUCAUUUUUAUCUUUUUUGCGACAAGUAAUUUCAGACAGAGGGAGUAGUUCCCUCAGAUAAGCACCUUGGGUGACUUAACAUCACUCUACUCACCCAGGAAAUUAAGCAGCUCCACUUCUUAAUAAGGCCAGUGUGUUUUUUGUCCGUCUUGGCACCCAUCGUUGUAUUCUAUGCUUCACUCAGAAAAGUCUUUUAAAAUAUGCCAGAUUAGACUAAGUGCCCAUCAUUUGGAAAAGAGGCUAAUAUAAUUUUGAGAAUAUAACUUGAGGACAGCUAGAACAAUAACUUAGGACAAGUAAUUCAGGACGGAGGGAGUACUUCAGGAAGGAAGGAGUACUUGAUUUACUUGUCCUAGCUUAAUAUAAAUCAAGUACUCCCUCCGUCCUAAAUUACUUGUCCUCCGUCCCGAAUCCAGCUAUCAUCACAAUUUUGAGAAUAUAACUUGAGGACAGCCAGUCAUGGAAAUGGAUGGAAUAUGUUUUUAUCGAAAAAGUUGAAACUCUGGCCUCUGCAUCAUUGCAAUGCACACAGCCAUUCUUACAGUCCUCAAUGUGGAUUCAAACGAAACAAUCCUCCAAAUAGCUUACAUAAUUCCAUUGGAUCAAACAAGCUUAAUCGCCAAUUAAAUUAUCAACACCCAGACAACUAAGCACGAAGGAAUCUGAUAAGAUCGGCCUGGCUGGACGGACAGAGACAUUUGAAUCGAUUUAUUAACAUGCAUAGGCACCAAACCACUCUAGUAAUCUGAUAGACAGUCUGGCUGGAGAUUUUUUAUUACCCUCGCGAAUCACAUGGCAGGAUUGCAUAUGGAAGUGAUACAGUAAUUUGUGGGUUUUCUUCAGAAGACGCAUCCUCCAUUCCCCGCCCCCUCUCUCCUUGCUUGCAUGCUGUAUAUAUACGUGCUCCUACCUAUGAGGUAUAGGUCGUAAGCCAAGCUGCCAAACAAAGCAAAUUCAACAAUGGCGCCUCCCAUUGUCGUCACCGCGGCUGCUGUUGGGGGCGCUAACAUUAUCUAGACUCUAGACCGCGUGGAUCAGAGUCAAGAGUGUGGGCAAUAUAAUCACCGAGGGCCCUACCUCGGCUUGGAACUGGGUUUCUACCGGAGACCUUUUACGGUACAUCAAAAUAAUAUCAGCCGUCCAUUUCAAGUCAUUCAAUGGACUAGAUUCACUAAUACUACUAGGGAGGACGUCGUUGCUUUUGGUGGGAUCCCGGACCCGGCCUUGACGGGGAGGCGGAUGAGUGCUCGCAUUCAGGAGCUUCCGGAGGUUGAUGACAUGCAGCAGAGGUGCGCUAUGAGGGCGGCCAAGCUUUAUGAUGCUGCGAUCUCUACUGGUAUGUCCGUCAACAUAUCUAAUUCUUUAUUGCAUUUUUCUAAUGAGGAAAUUAUAAAUAAUGCAAACCAAUUAGGAGUUUCACUCGGGGCUACAGAUAAUGAGAUUUCCAAUUCGGUGAAUGAUUUGUUAGAUUUGGAGGCGGAGCGUGCCUUAGAAACUAUUCGUAAUCUUGCAGCGGUUAAACCCAUGAAUGAUAAUGAGAUUGAUGCAUUAGGGGUUAGAGUGCUCGAUAAUAUGUGUGUGGAUCUAGCACCAUCCAAUCAUGAGUCUGAGGACGAUGAUAUGCCCAUAGAUAAUGCAGUUGUUUCUUCCGCUGAGCCCGGUUAUGAGGAUCGGGAGUCAGGACCUAGUAAACCCAAGCGUAAGUGGAAACGGAAAAUUUACCCCGAUUCUGCAGUUCGUAGGAGUGCUAGGAUUCGGACUACUAAAAAAUUUCAUGAUGAGUGAUGAAAGGAAUCUUUUGGAAUAGCAGAGGUCUGAAAGACUUGGCUAAACGAAGGUUUCUUGCUGAGGCUUCUCUGGAGCAUCAUUUAGAUUUUAUUGCUCUAUCAGAGACUGGUAGAGACAACUUUGCGCCCCAGUUCCUUUCCUCUCUUGCGGGUGGUGUUGAUUUUGAUUGGCAUUGCCUCCCUCCGCGAGGAAGAUCGGGUGGUAUCUUGCUGGGUGUGAGAUGCGAUUCGCUUGAAGUCCGUAGUGUAGUGAUGGGCGACUUCGCGGUUAAGUUUCGAGUGAGGUCUAAGGUUGAUGGUUUCAACUGGGCGUUGGUGCCGGUGUAUGGUGCCGCACAGCCCGAGCUUAAACCGGAAUUUUUGGCGGAUCUUGUUCGGAUUUGUGGGUCCGAGCAGCUUCCCAUCUUAGUUGGGGGUGAUUUCAACAUCAUUAGGAGGAGAGAGGAGAAGAAUAAUGAUAACUUUGACGGCAGGUGGUCGUUCAUGUUCAAUACUAUUAUUGAAAGCUUGGAUCUGAGGGAGAUAGAGCUUUCUGGUAGAAAGUUUACCUGGGCUAACUCUUUGCCCAACCCGACUUACGAAAAGCUUGAUCGCGUUCUUGCGAGUGUGGAGUGGGAACAGAAGUUCCCGCUUGUGACGGUUCAAGCUCUUUCACGGGGUUUUUCCGAUCACACACCCCUGUUCGUUGACUCAGGGGAGCCGAACCACGUGGGAAACAAAAACACCUUUUCUUUUGAGAUGGCCUGGUUCGAACGUGAAGGAUUCCUAGACCUCAUCGCUAGGGAAUGGGCGAAGGGUGUUGGAGGUAGAUCUGUUCUCUGGACAGCUUCAAUUAUUUCACUUGAAUUUUGGAACUAUCACACUGCUUCCUAAGAAGACGGAUGCUGUGAGAAUUGAGCAGUUCAGGCCAAUCUGCCUUCUCAAUGUUAGUUUUAAAAUAUUCACCAAGGUCGGGACUAAUAGGCUCACACAGAUUGCGCAUUCUGUGGUGCAGCACUCCCAAACUGCUUUCAUGCCGGACCGAAACAUCCUUAAAGGGGUGGUCGUCCUUCAUGAAACGCUCCAUGAAAUCCAUUCCAAGAAGUUAGAUGGUGUCAUUUUUAAGGUGGAUUUCGAAAAAGCGUACGAUAAGGUCAAAUGGCCAUUUCUCCAACAGGCAUUGCGUAUGAAAGGUUUUGAUGAAGCCUGGCGACGCCAGGUCGAAUCAUUUACGCAAAAAGGGAGUGUGGGAAUUAAAGUGAAUGACGAUAUUGGUCAUUACUUCCAGACACAUAAAGGCCUAAGACAAGGAGAUCCGAUGUCCCCUAUCCUGUUUAACAUUGUGGUUGAUAUGUUAGCCAUCUUGAUAGGAAGGGCUAAGGAGAAUGGUCAAGUGGGAGGCUUGGUACCUCAUCUGGUUGAUGGAGGUGUAUCCAUCCUUCAGUACGCUGAUGAUACAAUCAUCUUUAUGGAGCAUGACCUGGCCAAGGCGAGAAAUAUGAAGCUGGUGUUAUGCCUUUUCGAACAAUUGACCGGGUUAAAGAUUAACUUUCAUAAGAGCGAGUUGUUCUGCUUUGGUAGAGCCAAAGACGAACAGGAGGCUUAUAGGCAAUUGUUGGGUGCGACUUGGGGGAUUUACCUUUCUCUUACCUAGGUAUUCCAAUCCACCAUCGAAAGCUGACCAAUAGAGAAUGGAAGUGCAUCGAAGACCGGUUUGAGAAGAAACUGAGUUGCUGGAAGGGCAAGCUCAUGUCAUAUGGAGGCCGAUUAAUUCUGAUUAAUUCGGUGCUCACGAGUAUGCCUAUGUUUCUCUUAUCGUUCUUUCAAAUCCCAGUUGGUGUUAGGAAAAGACUGGACUUUUAUCGAUCGCGUUUCUUUUGGCAGGGUGAUGAGCUAAAAACAAAGUACAGACUUGCAAAAUGGGAUAUCAUCUGUAGACCGAAAGAUCAAGGGGGUCUUGGUAUUGAGAAUCUUGAAGUUAAGAACAGAUGCCUUCUUAGCAAGUGGUUGUGGAAGCUUUCUUUUGAGACUGAUGCUAUGUGGGCCCAAAUCCUUCGCAGCAAGUACCUACAGACAAAAUCCUUGUCCCAGGUCACAGUAAGGCCAACUGACUCGCCUUUCUGGAGAGGCCUGAUGAAAGUCAAACAAUCUAUGUUUAAUAGGACAAAGGUUGUUAUUGGCAACGGCGCUAGUACACGAUUCUAGGAGGAUACUUGGCUUGGCGAGACACCCUUGGCCAUUCAAUAUCCGUCUUUAUAUCGCAUUGUUCAACGACGUGAGGUAUUCGUUGCUACGGUGUUUCAAUCCAUCCCCCUUAAUAUUCAGUUCAGACGGUCGUUAGUGGGCAAUCGUUGGGAAGAUUGGCUCCGUCUAGUUCGGAGACUAAUGGAUGUACAUCUUUCUCAACAACCCGAUGAAUUACGCUGGAAACUGACUAGGUCUGGAGUAUUCACGGUGAAAUCAAUGUAUAUUGAUGUAAUUAAUUCGAGCGUCAUUCCUACCUCCAAGCAUGUUUGGGCUGUCAAAGUUCCUUUGAAAAUAAAAGUGUUUAUGUGGUUUCUCCAUACACAGGUUAUUUUAACCAGGGAUAACUUGAUUAAGCGUAAUUGGACAGGACCUACGAGGUGUAGCUUCUGUGAUCGGGACGAGACGAUCAAACAUCUCUUUUUUGAUUGCCCGUUUGCCAGAGUACUUUGGCGGACGGUCCACAUUGCUUUUAAUAUUACUCCACCGAAUUCUGUCACUACGUUAUUUGGGACAUGGCUCACUGGGAUUGAGCCUGAAUUAGCGAGACAUAUUCGUGUUGGAGUUUGCGCUUUGUUGUGGACUAUCUGGACUUGCAGAAAUGAUUUGGUCUUUAACAGAAUAUCACGUAUUCACUUUUUGCAGGUUAUUUUCCGAGCCACGGCCGUUAUCCGUUCAUGGUCGCUACUCACUCCGAUGGAGGCCAGGGAGCAUUUGGUUACUGGAUAUAUCCGCUGGGAGAUGGUAGCUCGGGAUAUCUUCAACCGGUUUGGAUGGCGGUCAUUUAAUAGGAUAGGCAAUUAGUUUACCUAUCUAUCUUUAGCCAGCCGGUUGUGGCGUCUUAUCUUGGCUAGUCGGUGUGCUCAGCCUCUUUAGCUCUGUGUGAGCUGUUUUUUUAUUUCUUUUCAGUCGGAGACUUUGGAACCUUAUUGAAACCUUUUAUUUCGUUAAUAAGAUGGCCGUAUGCAUCAUUCUGAUGCAGAGGCCGGGGAGAUCCCCUUUUCAAAAAAAACUAAUACUACUAGAAAUAAUCGGUAGUAUAUUUUGUUCAAGGGGUAAAAUUGGAAGACUUAUACAGAAUAAAUACCAAAACUCUACAUGCAUAGAGAAAUCUGUGUGUUUUCUUCUCGGGUUUUCCUGCUCUGACGGGACUGCCAGGACCAGCCCGGCCGAAUACUUUCCGACGGACAUGAGAUGCAAUCGGAGACGAUUGUAAUAAUCGAUGGAUUCUUGUCGGACGGUAUUUUUUAAGAUUUUUUAUGGUACAUCAUACUCCUUGUGAAACCGAGUAGUAUUGAAUCAUCUCAGCCGUUAAUUAGUGGGGCAGUUUUGUCAUUUCUUUUGUUUCCAAAUUCGUAAAAUCCUUCACGAUGACAAUCCUCCUGAGGCCUGGUCGUUGCCAUCGCCCGUCAUCAACGCGCAUGUCCAACAACAGAGCUGGCCUCUGUGCCAUUAAGUGGGAGCUCCAAGUACCAGCAGGCCGCGGAGCCGCCGCUGCAGCGUCCUGAUCAGCGGCGCCGUCUUCGCUGCAGCUCUCUCCGAGGUGCCCCGCUGCUUGUGCCCGCUUCGGUUGUGUGCAGCGGCCGCAGCCGCCCACUUGAUCGCCGGAAAACAAUCAGCUAACCAUCAUACGUACUGGUGCAUCAUGAAACUGAUCAAUCAGUCUUUCGUACAUGGCGAUUUCCUCGGCAAAAAAUAAAGACCUUUUACGGUGCAUCAAAUAUAUUUGGACCGUUCAUUUUAUGUGAUUGGAGGGUCCAGAUGAGGCAAUACUACGGUAGAUUUCUGGUAGUAUAUUGAGUAGUUAAGGGCAUUUUAGGUAGUUAACUUUUUAUCAAUCAAUCAGGCAGGUUCACACACGCAGGUCUCCUAGUGGUACGAACUGAACGUCGGUGCUGGCACCGCUGCUUCCCGCGUUCUCGUCCGUUGUCAUCUAAGGUGAGCCGCAGUCGAAGUCAAUGUCAAUCAUAUCGCCGGACACCUCGGGCACCGGCUGGAGGCCGCACGCUUGCCCGCCUUCUACGUCCAUCCUCUCGAUAAGGCACAAUGCUUCCAUGCAAAACUGUUCCUGCUCGUUGCCGUUGCCAAUGUCUAGCCGGCCAAGAAGGGCCUCCAUCUCGCCGGCAAACUCCAUGAGCUCGGUCGUCAGGCAGAAGCCGACGAGGCUGAACCGCUGAACGGGUGCCUGGAGACGCCGUCGUAGCAGGUUUCAUCGGAUUCAUCAUGGCACGACGCGACGGCCUUCGUCAGUUCCUCGAGAGGCGGUGACGGGCAGAGCUCCGCACGGGUGGGAUCGAAGAUGGGAGCGCGGGUACAGCAGGUUCUCCUCCAACGGCGAUCUCCUCGUCUCACUUCUGCUCCUCCGACGAGUUCCUGCCGGACGGCUCGGGACAACGAGCCACCUUGACGGGAGCUGACCUAUGCCCCUUGCCUGCGAGCGCCUCCGGGACGACCAGCCGCCUCGACGGGAGGUGCCCGAUGCUCNNNNNNNNNNNNNNNNNNNNNNNNNNNNNNNNNNNNNNNNNNNNNNNNNNNNNNNNNNNNNNNNNNNNNNNNNNNNNNNNNNNNNNNNNNNNNNNNNNNNNNNNNNNNNNNNNNNNNNNNNNNNNNNNNNNNNNNNNNNNNNNNNNNNNNNNNNNNNNNNNNNNNNNNNNNNNNNNNNNNNNNNNNNNNNNNNNNNNNNNNNNNNNNNNNNNNNNNNNNNNNNNNNNNNNNNNNNNNNNNNNNNNNNNNNNNNNNNNNNNNNNNNNNNNNNNNNNNNNNNNNNNNNNNNNNNNNNNNNNNNNNNNNNNNNNNNNNNNNNNNNNNNNNNNNNNNNNNNNNNNNNNNNNNNNNNNNNNNNNNNNNNNNNUGGCUCUCCCGUAGAGCCACUUCGGUAGCCCAAGGGAGCAGCGACGACGUGGGCGGCAAACUCACCCGCUAAUGGCUCCACCCAAGGGGGUUCACGGAGUGCACCGAGGCGUCGCUCCCCUGGCACACGAACACGUAGUCCGCCUGGCACGCACGCGCCACCUUGCUCGCCAUCAUACUGUCCGCCGCCUUCCCAAAGCUACUGAUCAACUGAAAAUCAAAGUGGCAAGCCGCACCAUGCAUCAUAGGAAACUAGAUUCUAUUUCGUGUCGCUUUAUUAUGCAAGCACUUGGCUGCAGUGGCUCCGGUCGGAGGUCCGCCGCCGGCAUGAAGAUUUUGCGGCGGCAUGGUGUCGGGAAUAGCGGAAGAAUGGGUCGGCGUGGAUGGGAUGAGAAUAACUAAUUAGUUAGAUCAAUUAGGAUUUAUUAAAUAGAAAAAGACAAAUCUAUCUUUAUGUAGAAUUAUCAAUAUAUCCUAGAGUUUAAAUUUUACCGAUCCAUAUUAACCGUUAGAUCAAUUAAAUACUACAAAUCUAUCUUUAUUAUUUGAAGGCAUCCCCACGUCACUCCACUCCGAGCAACACGGGUGGAGAUGAAACUCUAGCCGCCGGCCAUCCGUCCCCUUCCCUUCCUUCAUCAUUGCCGCCGCCUGAGGAGGCCUCCGGCGAAGUCCACAUGGUCGCCGAGGAUAGCGGCGGGAAGGAUCUGGCUGCUCCACCUCCACGCGGAGGGCAGUGGACGCCGAGCCGGCGGCCUCGGGUGGGGCGGCAGCGCCGUAUGUGCGGCGGGUCGUGGCACGGGUGUUUCUCUGUCUCCUCAAUAGUAUAGGUGGUGAGUGACGGGGGGCUCGGCAUCCCGGAUUGUGGGGGAUCUGAAGGUUGCAUCCCUCCUCCUUGUUUCUUGCUCUUUCUCGCUAGAUCUAGCUUCCGACACCUGCAGGUUGCCGGAUCAGUUAAUGGCGUGGCUGCCUGGAGCCACGGACUCGGACCGGGAGAAUUCCUUGCCUAGUUCUCCGGCCAGACAACACCGACAUCACCUGGUGUUGUUCCCCUUCUCGGAAUCCUCAUCUUGGUAUGAUCUCAUUCCCUCCAACCCAUAUGUUGGGUGAAAAUGUUUGUCUAUCCAAGCCCGGGUGGCAGCGGCGCGACAUGCGUUGUCACCUUCUUGUAGGUGCCACUUUUGUCUGUCCAAGACCGGGCGACAGCGGAAGCUGCACGUCAUGCUAGUUGGCGUUGUGCAUGUGCUUUGCGAGUUGGUUUGGGUGUGUAGAAUCUUCGAGGAAGGAGGUGAUGUUUCAUGUUUCAUCUCGCAAGAUCAAUGCUUUUCUGAUUUCCUUAGGUGUUCGAAUCAUGGCAUGUGUGUGCUUGCUCGUGGGUUGGUCAAUGCCAACUUCUUGGGGGACGAGGCAAUAGGCUUCCUUCCCCUUUAUCGCUAGCAGCAUAACGUUGCGGUAGCAUGGUCCUGAUGUAGGCGGGCCUGGUCUGGUCCUUGUUAUGAUUUACUCAGCUCCUGCCUAGAAUGUUUGUUCAGGGACCUCAACCUUCAGCAACCUUUUUCUUCGUGAUUGGAUCUAUGAGCAUCGUUGUGGCUCUUUUUAUGGUGUUCUUAGCAUAGUGGUAAGUUUAAUUUGAGAAUCUAAUGGCGGUCCGGCGCCUUUGUCCAGGGCGAGGGGCGGGAUUGGUGAGGACUGGCACGAUUUGGUUUUCACUUCUCGAAGUGGAUGAGGUUAUGUUGCUCCGCCGUUGGGUUAUGUCUCCAAUUGAAGUUUCACUCGGUUUGCUCUACUCCCCUUGCGUUUUGAGGACUCCAUGGACAUCAAGCUAGUGCUUAGUUUUCUUAUCUCUAGAGUACUUGCUGCCUUUGGUGCUUGUAAGCUGCUUGGGCAACACUAGGUAUGCGUCAUUUCUUUUGAGAGAAUUUAUUAUUUAACACUGUCUUAAAGUUUCUUUCCCUAUUUGAUACUCCCUCCAUUCCAAAAUAUAGUGCGCCCGCGCUUCCCGAGGUCGAACUUUGACCAUAAAUUUAACGAACGUGACCGACUGCGGCGGGUGAAAAAAUUACAUAAUUAAAAACUUAUUUCGAAUACGAAUUCACUGAUAUAAUUUUUGCUCCCGCCGCAAUCGGUCUUGGUAGUUAAAUUUACGGUCAAAGUUGAAGCACGGAGAUAGAGGAAGCACUACAUUGUGGAAUGGAGGGAGUACUGAGAAAAUAUUUCUUUCUUAUAUAACACAAACUUUAAAAAAAAUCCCAAUAUAACACUUUCAUCCAUUUUUUUGGCACUGUGUUAAAUGGCAUGUGAAAUGACAAUUAUGCCCUCAAACAUAUAUUCACUCUUUUUCUUUAUUUCCGGUGUCUUGUUUAAGAGUGGGGUUCAUGGUUAGUGUAACAAAAUAAGUCAAAUUAAGGUACUACAAACAAUUGCCGCAAGCAAGGCUCAAGUACGUACGUACAUGCAUGGCUAGAGACGAGCACAUGCUCGCUCUGCUUCUAGAGGAAAAUCAAUCGAGCUGUUUGUGUGUUAAGUGUUUGUGAGCUAGCUUGUUUCUAGGGGAAAAUCAAUCGAGCUUUGCAGUACGUACGCUGAUUUAAGGGAAUCGAUCUAGCAUUCUAAACAACACUCCACCACACGGGCUCGCCCAACGCCCGGACGCUCCCGUCCGGCUGCGCCUUGGCUGCUCCCAUGAUCCCAUCGCCCCCGCCUUGACGAGUUUCUCAAGCCGGAACCAUUGAUUAGUAUGCGGACGACCCUACACAACGCAGUCCACCGAAGCAUAUGCUCGUGCGGCGUGCCGGCAAGGAAGGCCUACAUUUGUUGGUAUUCCGGAGCGACGCGACUACCCGCCUCCUGUGCCGCUCGGUGUUCCCGAGUACGAGGGAUUGUGGGCCGGGUGAAGCCAAUGACAGUGAACUUGAUCUGACUUAGGUGCUUCUAGUGCCAGGAGUAAACUUGUCAUUUCAUGUGUCAUUUAACACCAUUAGGUCAAAAAAUAGACGGAAGUGUUACAUUGGGAACAAAAUUUAAAUUUGGUAUUAGAUAGGGAAAAAUAUUUUUCCAGUGUCAAAUAGGAAAACCAUAUUUAAAACAGUGUUAAAUAAGGAAUUCUUUCAUUUCUUUUUGUUUUUUCUUGUUGGAUGAUGGUCGUUGUAAUCUCAGAUCAGUUGAUGACUUUGUUAAUUCAAAGUCAGGCCCUUCUUGAGCCUUCGUUCUAAAACAAAGUGUAUUAUAUAUCUUUUUCUUCUUGCUAUGAACUAUUGGUUUAAUGGGAGAUAUACAGAGUAUGGUGAUGGUUAAGUUCAGUCAGAAAAAUCAUAGACUUAAUAUAUCAUGCAAACAUGUAGCUUUAUUUAGACAAGUGCCUCAUUCAGGAACAUCUGUUCAUUAUUUCCAUGUUGCAAUUAGUACUAGGCACACAUGAUGAUGCAUGACAUUUUAUUUUGCCACUGCUAUAUUGAUCAACUAGCAGGUACCAUCGGUAUAGCUAGCUGUCAUGGUAAUGCUAUAGGGGGUGGUGGUGGUGGCUGGGCAUUGUACAGGGAUGUAGAUUUUGCACAUCGACGGUAGGGUGUGAAGUGACAUCCUCAGGCCCUCAAGUUGUACUUCCUGUUGUGGUUGGUGAUGUUGUUGUUGCCUGAUAGACUCUACCACAUUAUGAAUGGCUUGGCAGCGGAAUUGCUCUGGGAUCUGUGCUAGCUGCCGGCAGCAUUGGGACUGCACGUUCUGGCAGCUGGUGGGCUUCUGCACUGGUGUAUGCGGGAAUGGCACUGUCAUUGGCCUACAUUGAUGUUGUAGGAAUGUCGCACACGGUUUUAACUGCUCCUGCAACUGUUGUUGUUGUUGUCGCCCCAGUUGUUGCUGUUGCUGGCAUUGUACCGGGACGUAGAUGUUGCACAUAGACGGCAGGGUCUGAAGCGACAUCCUCAUGCUCUUAAGGUGUGCUUCCUGUUGGGGCUCAUUCCAUUGUUGUUGGGGCUGUUGUUGAAUGAUAGCCUCUUCCACGCUCUGUAUGGCCUUGCACCGGGCUUGUUCUGGGAUCUGCACUAGCUGCCGACAGCAUUGGUGUUGCACGGUUUGGCAACUGCUAUGCUGCUCUCCCCGUGUUUGGGGGAAUGGUGUUCUCACUGGGCUAC